rnacentral:rRNA from 1 species
AUUGAACGCUGGCGGCAUGCCUUACACAUGCAAGUCGAACGGUAACAGGUCUUCGGAUGCUGACGAGUGGAGAACGGGUGAGUAAUGCAUCGGAACGUGCCCAGUAGUGGCGGAUAGCACGGCGAAAGCCGGAUUAAUACCGCAUACGACCUGAGGGUGAAAGGGGGGGAUCGCAAGCACUCUCGCUAUUGGAUCGGCCGAUGGCAGAUUAGCUAGUUGGGGGGGUAAAGGCCUACCAAGGCAACGGUCUGUAGUUGGUCUGAGAGGCCGACCAGCUACACUGGGACUGAGACGCGGCCCAGACUCCUACGGGAGGCAGCAGUGGGUAAUUUUGGACAAUGGGCGUAAGCCUGAUCCAGCAAUGCCGCGUGCAGGAAGAAGGCCUUCGGGUUGUAAACUGCUUUUGUCAGGGAAGAAAUCUUCUGGGUUAAUACCUCGGGAGGAUGACGUUACCUGAAGAAUAGGCACCGGCUAACUACGUGCCAGCCGCCGCGGUAAGAC